rnacentral:rRNA from 1 species
UACGAAGGGGGCUAGCGUUGCUCGGAAUCACUGGGCGUAAAGGGUGCGUAGGCGGGUUUUAAGUCAGAGGUGAAAUCCUGGAGCUCAACUCCAGAACUGCCUUUGAUACUGAGAAUCUUGAGUAUGGGAGAGGUGAGUGGAACUGCGAGUGUAGAGGUGAAAUUCGUAGAUAUUCGCAAGAACACCAGUGGCGAAGGCGGCUCACUGGCCCAUAACUGACGCUGAGGCACGAAGGCCAGGGGAGCAAACGGG